rnacentral:tRNA from 1 species
GCCUCGGUAGCGCAGUAGGCAGCCCGUCAGUCUCAUAAUCUGAAGGUCGUGAGUUCGAACCUCACCCGGGGCA